GAUGAACGCUGGCGGCGUGCCUAAUACAUGCAAGUCGAGCGAACAGACGAGGAGCUUGCUCCUCUGACGUUAGCGGCGGACGGGUGAGUAACACGUGGAUAACCUACCUAUAAGACUGGGAUAACUUCGGGAGACCGGAGCUAAUACCGGAUAAUAUGUUGAACCGCAUGGUUCAAUAGUGAAAGACGGUUUUGCUGUCACUUAUAGAUGGAUCCGCGCCGCAUUAGCUAGUUGGUAAGGUAACGGCUUACCAAGGCAACGAUGCGUAGCCGACCUGAGAGGGUGAUCGGCCACACUGGAACUGAGACACGGUCCAGACUCCUACGGGAGGCAGCAGUAGGGAAUCUUCCGCAAUGGGCGAAAGCCUGACGGAGCAACGCCGCGUGAGUGAUGAAGGUCUUCGGAUCGUAAAACUCUGUUAUUAGGGAAGAACAAAUGUGUAAGUAACUAUGCACGUCUUGACGGUACCUAAUCAGAAAGCCACGGCUAACUACGUG
rnacentral:rRNA from 1 species